rnacentral:rRNA from 1 species
UUGGUGGCGACCGGCGCACGGGUGAGUAACGCGUAUGCAACCUACCUAUCAGAGGGGAAUAACCCGGCGAAAGUCGGACUAAUACCGCAUAAAACAGGGACACCGCAUGGUGAUAUUUGUUAAAGAAAUUCGCUGAUAGAUGGGCAUGCGUUCCAUUAGGUAGUUGGUGAGGUAACGGCUCACCAAGCCGACGAUGGAGAGGGGAACUGAGAGGUUGGUCCCCCACACUGGUACUGAGACACGGACCAGACUCCUACGGGAGGCAGCAGUGAGGAAUAUUGGUCAAUGGGCGAGAGCCUGAACCAGCCAAGUCGCGUGAAGGAAGAAGGAUCUAUGGUUCGUAAACUUCUUUUGCAGGGGAAUAAAGUGCAGGACGUGUCCUGUUUUGUAUGUACCCUGAGAAUAAGGAUCGGCUAACUCCGUGCCAGCAGCCGCGGUAAUACGGAGGAUCCGAGCGUUAUCCGGAUUUAUUGGGUUUAAAGGGUGCGUAGGUGGUUUGAUAAGUCAGCGGUGAAAGUUUGCAGCUUAACUGUAAAAAUGCCGUUGAAACUGUCGGACUUGAGUGUAAAUGAGGUAGGCGGAAUGCGUGGUGUAGCGGUGAAAUGCUUAGAUAUCACGAAGAACUCCGAUUG